rnacentral:miRNA from 1 species
GCUGUUAGUUUGUGGGAUGGUG